rnacentral:tRNA from 1 species
GGAGAGAUGGCUCAGUGGUUAAGAGCACUGACUACCCUUUCAGAGGACCUGGGUUCAAUUCCUAGCACCA